AGCUGGUUGACUUCGGGUCAAAU
rnacentral:miRNA from 11 species